GUGCUCACUUCGGCAGCAGAUAUGCUAAAAUUGGAAUGAUACAGAGAUUAGCAUGGCCCCUGUGCAAGGAUGACACGCAGAUUCGUGAAGUGUUCCAUAUUUUC